GGUAUCAUAUUUUAAAUAGAAAUAUUAAUUUGCAAUUAAAUAGUGGAAAUACUCUUAAUUUUCCUUUUACCA
rnacentral:tRNA from 1 species